CCUCUAUUUUUUCAUACACUAAACAAAACCAAAACCCCGAUGCAAAGAUCAAAAGGUACCAAAGAAAAAAGAAAUGGAGUGAAAGACUUCUGGUUGCUCCACCAAAUCAACCUGCUCCUGCUCCUGGAACUCCAGAGGAAGUCACCAGCAUGGAUCACAGUCCUACUGAAGAGGACAUCCCAGUCACGAGGACAGAAUACAAUGACCUGAACCUGAG